CCCUAUCCAUCACCUAGAGAUAUAAAAUAACCAGAAAAUACAUGUAUGGAAAAAGACUAGUCAAAAGUAUUAGGUAAGGCAGUACUUACAUUUAUAUUAUAAUUUGAAACAAAUCUCUUAUAAAAUAAUAAUUUGCACAAUUUUAACAUUAUCAUUUUUUUAGCAAUAUAUGUUUCACGCGGAACAAGGAAUCCCAAAUUAAUAAUAUACGAUGAUGAAUACGUUAUUCACAGACAAGGAUCUGGUAAAACCACAUGGAGAUGUUCACAAUAUAGCAAAGCAUGUCGUUCGAGGGUUUUUACUUUUGGAAGAAACCUCUUAAUAAAAUAUGUUCAUAAUCAUCAACCAAGAUAUCCUCCAUUGGACAAGGCAGUUAAACAAUUUGUCAAUAUUAUUAGGGACCCUCAAUAAAAUAAAUACAAUAUACGUUUCACGUGGAACAAGAAACCCAAAGUUAAUAGUAUAUGAGGACGAUUACGUUAUUCACAGACAAGUAUCGGGUAAAACCACAUGGAGGUGUUCACAAUUUAGCAAAGCUUGUCGUUCGAGGGUGUUUACUUUUGGAAGAAACCUCUUAAUAAAAAAUGUUCAUAAUCAUCAACCAAGAUAUCCUCCAUUGGACAAGGCAGUUAAACAAUUUGUUAAUAUUAUUAGGCACCCUUUAAAAUAAAUACAAUAUAUGUGUCACGUGGAACAAGGAAUCCCAUGUUAAUAGUAUACAAUGAUGAAUACGUUAUUAACAGAAAAGUAGCUGGUAAAACUACAUGGAGAUGUUCACAAUAUAGCAAAGUAUUGUGUCGUUCGAGGGUUGUUACUUAUGGAAGAAACCUCUUAAUAAAAAAUGUUCAUAAUCAUGAACCAAGAUUUCCCCCAUUGGACAAGGCAGUUAAACAAUUUGUCAAUAUUGUUAAGCAACCUGAAUAAAAUAAAUAAGCAACCUGAAUAAAACCUAAUAAAAACUA
rnacentral:lncRNA from 1 species